rnacentral:rRNA from 1 species
UACGUAGGGUGCAGGCGUUAAUCGGAAUUACUGGGCGUAAAGCGUGCGCAGGCGGUUUGCUAAGACAGGUGUGAAAUCCCCGGGCUUAACCUGGGAACUGCGCUUGUAACUGGCAAGCUAGAGUGUGGCAGAGGGGGGGUGGAAUUCCACGUGUAGCAGUGAAAUGCGUAGAGAUGUGGAAGAACACCGAUGGCGAAGGCAGCCCCCUGGGCUAACACUGACGCUCAUGCACGAAAGCGUGGGGAGCAAACAGG